GACGAACGCUGGCGGCGUGCUUAACACAUGCAAGUCGAACGGAAAGGCCCUGCUUUUGUGGGGUGCUCGAGUGGCGAACGGGUGAGUAACACGUGAGUAACCUGCCCUUGACUUUGGGAUAACUUCAGGAAACUGGGGCUAAUACCGGAUAGGAGCUCCUGCUGCAUGGUGGGGGUUGGAAAGUUUCGGCGGUUGGGGAUGGACUCGCGGCUUAUCAGCUUGUUGGUGGGGUAGUGGCUUACCAAGGCUUUGACGGGUAGCCGGCCUGAGAGGGUGACCGGCCACAUUGGGACUGAGAUACGGCCCAGACUCCUACGGGAGGCAGCAGUGGAGAAUAUUGCACAAUGGGCGGAAGCCUGAUGCAGCAACGCCGCGUGCGGGAUGACGGCCUUCGGGUUGUAAACCGCUUUCGCCUGUGACGAAGCGUGAGUGACAGUAAUGGGUAAAGAAGCACCGGCUAACUACGUG
rnacentral:rRNA from 1 species